rnacentral:rRNA from 1 species
UACAGAGGGUGCGAGCGUUAAUCGGAAUUACUGGGCGUAAAGCGCGCGUAGGCGGCUUUGCAAGUCGGGUGUGAAAUCCCCAGGCUUAACCUGGGAACUGCAUUCGAGACUGCAUUGCUAGAGUAUGGGAGAGGGUAGUGGAAUUUCCGGUGUAGCGGUGAAAUGCGUAGAUAUCGGAAGGAACAUCAGUGGCGAAAGCGACUUCCUGGACCAAUACUGACGCUCAUGUGCGAAAGCGUGGGGAGCAAACAGG